AGAGUUUGAUCAUGGCUCAGAUUGAACGCUGGCGGCAUGCUUUACACAUGCAAGUCGAACGGCAGCACGGGGGCAACCCUGGUGGCGAGUGGCGAACGGGUGAGUAAUACAUCGGAACGUGUCCUGGUGUGGGGGAUAACCAGUCGAAAGAUUGGCUAAUACCGCAUACGCUCGGAAGAGGAAAGCAGGGGAUCGCAAGACCUUGCGCAGCAGGAGCGGCCGAUGUCCGAUUAGCUAGUUGGUGGGGUAAAGGCCUACCAAGGCGACGAUCGGUAGCUGGUCUGAGAGGAUGAUCAGCCACACUGGGACUGAGACACGGCCCAGACUCCUACGGGAGGCAGCAGUGGGGAAUUUUGGACAAUGGGGGCAACCCUGAUCCAGCCAUGCCGCGUGAGUGAAGAAGGCCUUCGGGUUGUAAAGCUCUUUCGGUGGGAACGAAACGGCCUGGGCGAAUACCCUAGGUCACUGACGGUACCCAUAGAAGAAGCACCGGCUAACUACGUGCCAGCAGCCGCGGUAAUACGUAGGGUGCGAGCGUUAAUCGGAAUUACUGGGCGUAAAGCGUGCGUAGGCGGCGCGUUAAGACAGGUGUGAAAUCCCCGGGCUUAACCUGGGAAUUGCGCUUGUGACUGGCGUGCUCGAGUGCGGCAGAGGGAGGUGGAAUUCCACGUGUAGCAGUGAAAUGCGUAGAUAUGUGGAGGAACACCGAUGGCGAAGGC
rnacentral:rRNA from 1 species